rnacentral:piRNA from 1 species
ACUUAGUAUCAUUAGAACACAGGAGCUCUA